rnacentral:other from 1 species
UUUACCCUAGAGUGUUCGUGAGGGGAUUACGUCCCCGAGCCGAUAAGCAAUAACCCAGGGUUAGUACUUGAUAACUAUUGAGCAAGCUCGGCUUGUACCGAGAAGCCUACGGUUAACAUUGCUGACCCGCCUUGAACUAGCUGGUUCAAGGGUCAAAAUCUCCAACGGCACUCUGGGGUAUCC